CUAGGAAUUAUGCACAAUGGACGAAAGUCUGAUGCUGCGACGUUGCGUGAAGGAAGAAGUUCUUAGGAAUGUAAACUUCUUUUAUCGGGGAACAAGUUCUGAGUGUACCCGAUGAAUAAGUGCCUGCCAACCACGUGCCAGAAGCAUCGGUAAUACGUGGGACACAAGCGUUAUCCGGAUUUACUGGGCGUAAAGAGAUGCGUAGGCGUCUAGAUAAGUCUGAUGUUAAAUCCCAAUGCUCACCAUUGGAACUGCAUCAGAAACUAUAUAGAUUGAUUUAGGUAGAGAAGAGGGGAAUUCCUGGUGGAGCGGUUAAAUGCGUUGAUAUCAGGAGGAACACCAAUGGCGAAAGCACCUCUUUGGACCUAUACUGACGCUAAGGCUCGAAAGCGUGGGUAGCAAAACGG
rnacentral:rRNA from 1 species